CCGAGUAGCUAGGAUUACAGGCAUGUGCCACCAUGUCUGGCUAAUUUUGUAUUUUUAGUAGAGACGGGGUUUUACCCUGUUGGCCAGGUUGGUCUCAAACUCCAGACCUCAGUUGAUCCACCCGCCUCAACCUCCCAAAGUGUUAGGAUUACAGGCAUGACUCACCACUCCUGGCCCCAUUUACAAGUUUUAAUAAGAGUAAAGAAGGACAUGAUUACAUUUGUACUUUACCAAAGUGUUAGAAUGGUUUAUAUUGAUGACUAAGAGUGAAAAAGGAAUUCUACUUAGUAGGUUAUUGCAGUCAUUAGCUAAUAUUAGUAAUAACCAAUGCUUAUUUCAUAUAUACUAUGAGCUUGGCCCUAUUCUAAAUGUUUUACUUGCAUUAUCUCAUUUAAUCUUGUGGAAAACUCAGUGAAGUAAAUAACAUUAUUUUAUACAUUUUACAAAGGAAGAAGCUCAAUCAUAGACAGUUUAAGCAACCUGCUCAAGCUCAAGAUCACACAGCUAGUAAGUAGGACUGUAUACAGUGAAAGAAGAAGAAAAAGAAUGAAAUCCUGAUGUACAUGAAAAUUGAAGAGAGAUCAGAAGUUCCCAUGAAAGAAACAGAUAAGAGUUAAUCCAGGAGAGUGUGAUUUCACAGAAGCCAGAGGGAUUGAGUGUUUCAAGAAAGAAGAUGUAGCUGACAGUGUCAAAUACUGCAGAGAUGUCAACUAAAGUAGUCUGAAUAUAUCCAGGGACUUUAAAAGAAAUAAGCCCUAGCUCGUGGAAAAGUAGCUCUGAAGAAAGCAAGUAGCCCUGUAGAGAAGUCCGUGUGGCACGGAAAUGAUGCUUCAGACCAACAACCUUAAGAGAAGACCUUAAGCCUGACAACAGCUAUAUGUGAGUGACCCUACAAGUGGACAUUCUGCAAAUCAAGUUUUGAGAUGACUACAACCCCAGCCAAUCCCUUGAUUGCAGCUUUGUGAGAGACCCUGGGAGACAGGCUGGUGUUGCUUUCCUUCUUUGUGUUGCAGUAUUUUUUAAUAGAUUCAAUGUUGGGGUGACUUUGUCUCUACUUACAUCUCUCUGAAAGUGUGCAAAUUAAUCAGCAACUGGUAUUUACUUGCGAAAGAGUAGGUAUAUUCCAUUUAUAUCUAUAAUCUGUUACACCUGAGUAUAAAUUUUCUGUUCUCUUUCAAACUUGAGUUGGAGAGCUGGCUGUUAAGGUUUCACCUAUCCAGUAACCUGAAGGAGAUAAAGAAGAAACUAAGACCACCAGCAGCCACAGUUAUGGAAUUUUAUAUCUGCAUAUUCUUUGUCUCUACGUUUGUUAAAAUUCUAUCUGAAAGUUAUGUUUAACCUACUGAAUUGGGAGCAUUUACCACCUAAUUAAGGUUUCUAAUAAAUUUGAUUUCCCACCUUGGGACAAACUCCCAAUUUCAAUAAAAAGUUUAUUUUGAAAAGUGUGGAUUCUAUUAAUUUCAUGUGACUACACAUCUUGUCC
rnacentral:lncRNA from 10 species